AUUGAACGCUGGCGGCGGGCCUAACACAUGCAAGUCGAACGAGUGGCGGACGGGUGAGUAAUGUCUGGGAAACUGCCUGAUGGAGGGGGAUAACUACUGGAAACGGUAGCUAAUACCGCAUACAAUCGGAUGUGCCCAGAUUGGAUUAGCUAGUCGGUGGGGUAACGGCUCACCUAGGCGAGGAUCCCUAGCUGGUCUGAGGGGAUGACCAGCCACACGGGAGCUAGGACGCUGUGCAGCAUCCUACGGGAGGCACGAGUGGGGAAUAUUGCAGAAUGGGCGGAAGCCUGAUGCACCCAUGCGGGGUGUAUGAAGAAGGCCUUCGGGUUGUAAAGUACGUUCAGCGGGGAGGCGUUACCCGAAGAAGAAGCACCGGCUAACUCCGUGCCAGCAGCCGCGGUAAUAC
rnacentral:rRNA from 1 species